rnacentral:rRNA from 1 species
UACGUAGGUGGCAAGCGUUUGUCCGGAUUUACUGGGCGUAAAGAGCGCGCAGGCGGUCGUUCAAGUCGCGUGUGAAAGCCCCCGGCUCAACUGGGGAGGGUCACGCGAUACUGAUCGACUCGAAGGCAGGAGAGGGAAGUGGAAUUCCCGGUGUAGUGGUGAAAUGCGUAGAUAUCGGGAGGAACACCAGUGGCGAAGGCGACUCCUGGCCUGUUCUUGACGCUGAGGCGCGAAAAGCGUGGGGGAGCAAACAGGG